rnacentral:rRNA from 1 species
UGGUGGGUUGCCUUGUCAGGUUGAUUCCGGUAACGAACGAGACCUCAGCCUGCUAAAUAGUCACGAUCGCUUUUUGCGGUUGGCUGACUUCUUAGAGGGACUAUUGGCGUUUAGUCAAUGGAAGUAUGAGGCAAUAACA